UAGGGAAUCUUCCGCAAUGGACGAAAGUCUGACGGAGCAACGCCGCGUGAGUGAAGAAGGUUUUCGGAUCGUAAAGCUCUGUUGUUAAGGAAGAACACCAUGGAUAGGAAAUGAUCGAUGGAUGACGGUACUUAACCAGAAAGCCACGGCUAACUACGUGCCAGCAGCCGCGGUAAUACGUAGGUGGCAAGCGUUAUCCGGAAUUAUUGGGCGUAAAGCGCGCGUAGGCGGUUUCUUAAGUCUGAUGUGAAAGCCCCCGGCUCAACCGGGGAGGGUCAUUGGAAACUGGGGAACUUGAGUACAGAAGAGGAGAGUGGAAUUCCAUGUGUAGCGGUGAAAUGCGCAGAGAUAUGGAGGAACACCAGUGGCGAAGGCGGCUCUCUGGUCUGAAACUGACGCUGAGGUGCGAAAGCGUGGGGAUCAAACAGG
rnacentral:rRNA from 1 species